rnacentral:rRNA from 1 species
CAGUCGUACCGACGGAAAAUCAGCUCUUCGAGUGUGAACUUGUGGGUGUACGUGAGCUUUAACCGGCCUCGUUGUUUGCAAUGUUUGUGCUUUUUGGGUGUACUUUUUCGUAUGGUAGGCCAACGUCAGUCUCGGUCACCGUAAAAUGAUCGGAGGAAUGUAGCUUUAAUCUCGUAUUGAAGUGUUAUAGCCUCUGGUAGAUGCGGUGACCCGAAACUGAGGAUUGCAACGAAUACCCUUCUGGGCUAUCCGUCUGACCUCUGAAAGUUGCUUAGGUGCCGAAAGCGUGCUUACGGCUAUUUAAGUUGACGGUCAACAGGUUAGAACGCGAUUACAUUCGUUAAGGACGUUGACGUAAUGGCUUUAAACGACCCGUCUUGAAACACGGACCAAGGA